rnacentral:rRNA from 1 species
CAUGUGGUUUAAUUCGAUGCAACGCGAAGAACCUUACCUGGUCUUGACAUCCACAGAACUUUCCAGAGAUGGAUUGGUGCCUUCGGGAACUGUGAGACAGGUGCUGCAUGGCUGUCGUCAGCUCGUGUUGUGAAAUGUUGGGUUAAGUCCCGCAACGAGCGCAACCCUUAUCCUUUGUUGCCAGCGAUUAGGUCGGGAACUCAAAGGAGACUGCCAGUGAUAAACUGGAGGAAGGUGGGGAUGACGUCAAGUCAUCAUGGCCCUUACGACCAGGGCUACACACGUG